CCGAACACACUUAUGUUGAAAAAUGAGGGGAUGAGCUGUGGAUCGGAGUGAAAGGCUAAUCAAGCCCGGAGAGAGCUGGGUCUCCUCGAAAGCUAUUUAGGUAGCGCCUCGUGUUUCACCACCGGGGGGAGAGCACUGUUUGGGCUAGGUGGCCACCUCGGCUUACCAAACCCAUGCAAACUCCGAAUACCGGUGAGUGCUAUCACGGGAGACAGACGGCGGGUGCUAACGGCC
rnacentral:rRNA from 1 species